CCUACGGGCGGCAGCAGUGGGGAAUAUUGCACAAUGGGGGAAACCCUGAUGCAGCGACGCCGCGUGAGUGAAGAAGUAUUUCGGUACGUAAAGCUCUAUCAGCAGGGAAGAAAAUGACGGUACCUGACUAACAAGCACCGACUAACUACGUGCCCGCAGCCGCGGUCAUACGGAGGGUGAGCGCGUUAUCGGGAUUAAUUGGGUUUAACGGGUGUGCAGGGGGAAUGUCAUGUCAGCGGUAAAAUUUCGGGGGGCAACCCCGUAGUGCCGUUGAAACUGGCGAUCUUGAGUGAGCGAGAGGUAAGCGGAAUGCGUGGUGUAGCGGUGAAAUGCAUAGAUAUCACGCGGAACACCGAUUGCGAAGGCGGCAUACCGGCGCUCAACUGACGCUGAGGCGCGAAAGCGUGGGUAGCAAACAGGAUUAGAUACCCUAGUAGUC
rnacentral:rRNA from 1 species